rnacentral:rRNA from 1 species
AGCGUACACGGUGGAUGCCCUGGCAGUCAGAGGCGAUGAAGGACGUGCUAAUCUGCGAAAAGCGCCGGUAAGGUGAUAUGAACCGUUAUAACCGGCGAUGUCCGAAUGGGGAAACCCGGUGCACUUCGGUGCAUCAUCGUUAGCUGAAUACAUAGGCUAACGAAGCGAACCGGGGGAACUGAAACAUCUAAGUACCCCGAGGAAAAGAAAUCAACCGAGAUUCCCCCAGUAGCGGCGAGCGAACGGGGAACAGCCCAGAGCCUGAAUCAGCUUGUGUGUCAGUGGAACGGUCUGGAAAGGCCGGCGAUACAGGGUGACAGCCCCGUACACGAAGGCACACAGGCUGUGAGCUCGAUGAGUAGGGCGGGACACGUGAUAUCCUGUCUGAAGAUGGGGGGACCAUCCUCCAAGGCUAAAUACUCCUGACUGACCGAUAGUGAACCAGUACCGUGAGGGAAAGGCGAAAAGAACCCCGGCGAGGGGAGUGAAACAGAACCUGAAACCGUGUACGUACAAGCAGUGGGAGCCUUCGUAAGAGGGUGACUGCGUACCUUUUGUAUAAUGGGUCAGCGACUUAUAUUCUGUAGCAAGGUUAACCGUAUAGGGGAGCCGAAGGGAAACCGAGUCUUAAUUGGGCGUUAAGUUGCAGGGUAUAGACCCGAAACCCGGUGAUCUAGCCAUGGGCAGGUUGAAGGUUGGGUAACACUAACUGGAGGACCGAACCGACUAAUGUUGAAAAAUUAGCGGAUGACCUGUGGCUGGGGGUGAAAGGCCAAUCAAACCGGGAGAUAGCUGGUUCUCCCCGAAAGCUAUUUAGGUAGCGCCUCGUGAACUCAUCUCCGGGGGUAGAGCACUGUUUCGGCUAGGGGGCCAUCCCGGCUUACCAACCCGAUGCAAACUGCGAAUACCGGAGAAUGUUAUCACGGGAGACACACGGCGGGUGCUAACGUCCGUCGUGAAGAGGGAAACAACCCAGACCGCCAGCUAAGGUCCCAAAGUCAUGGUUAAGUGGGAAACGAUGUGGGAAGGCCCAGACAGCCAGGAUGUUGGCUUAGAAGCAGCCAUCAUUUAAAGAAAGCGUAAUAGCUCACUGGUCGAGUCGGCCUGCGCGGAAGAUGUAACGGGGCUAAACCAUGCACCGAAGCUGCGGCAGCGACGCUUAGGCGUUGUUGGGUAGGGGAGCGUUCUGUAAGCCUGCGAAGGUGUGCUGUGAGGCAUGCUGGAGGUAUCAGAAGUGCGAAUGCUGACAUAAGUAACGAUAAAGCGGGUGAAAAGCCCGCUCGCCGGAAGACCAAGGGUUCCUGUCCAACGUUAAUCGGGGCAGGGUGAGUCGACCCCUAAGGCGAGGCCGAAAGGCGUAGUCGAUGGGAAACAGGUUAAUAUUCCUGUACUUGGUGUUACUGCGAAGGGGGGACGGAGAAGGCUAUGUCAGCCGGGCGACGGUCGUCCCGGUUUAAGCGUGUAGGCUGACUUUCCAGGCAAAUCCGGAAAGUUAAGGCUGAGGCGUGAUGACGAGGCACCACGGUGCUGAAGUGACAAAUGCCCUGCUUCCAGGAAAAGCCUCUAAGCAUCAGGUAACAUUAAAUCGUACCCCAAACCGACACAGGUGGUCAGGUAGAGAAUACCAAGGCGCUUGAGAGAACUCGGGUGAAGGAACUAGGCAAAAUGGUGCCGUAACUUCGGGAGAAGGCACGCUGACAUGUAGGUGAAGCCCCUGCGGGUGGAGCUGAAGUCAGUCGAAGAUACCAGCUGGCUGCAACUGUUUAUUAAAAACACAGCACUGUGCAAACACGAAAGUGGACGUAUACGGUGUGACGCCUGCCCGGUGCCGGAAGGUUAAUUGAUGGGGUUAUCGCAAGAGAAGCUCCUGAUCGAAGCCCCGGUAAACGGCGGCCGUAACUAUAACGGUCCUAAGGUAGCGAAAUUCCUUGUCGGGUAAGUUCCGACCUGCACGAAUGGCGUAAUGAUGGCCAGGCUGUCUCCACCCGAGACUCAGUGAAAUUGAACUCGCUGUGAAGAUGCAGUGUACCCGCGGCAAGACGGAAAGACCCCGUGAACCUUUACUACAGCUUGACACUGAACAUUGAGCCUUGAUGUGUAGGAUAGGUGGGAGGCUUUGAAGCGUGGACGCCAGUCUGCGUGGAGCCAACCUUGAAAUACCACCCUUUAAUGUUUGAUGUUCUAACCUGGCGCCAUAAUCUGGCGUGGGGACAGUGUCUGGUGGGUAGUUUGACUGGGGCGGUCUCCUCCCAAAGUGUAACGGAGGAGCACGAAGGUCAGCUAAUCCUGGUCGGACAUCAGGAGGUUAGUGCAAUGGCAUAAGCUGGCUUGACUGCGAGAGUGACGGCUCGAGCAGGUGCGAAAGCAGGUCAUAGUGAUCCGGUGGUUCUGUAUGGAAGGGCCAUCGCUCAACGGAUAAAAGGUACUCCGGGGAUAACAGGCUGAUACCGCCCAAGAGUUCAUAUCGACGGCGGUGUUUGGCACCUCGAUGUCGGCUCAUCACAUCCUGGGGCUGAAGUAGGUCCCAAGGGUAUGGCUGUUCGCCAUUUAAAGUGGUACGCGAGCUGGGUUUAGAACGUCGUGAGACAGUUCGGUCCCUAUCUGCCGUGGGCGCUGGAGAAUUGAGGGGGGCUGCUCCCAGUACGAGAGGACCGGAGUGGACGCAUCACUGGUGUUCGGGUUGUCAUGCCAAUGGCACUGCCCGGUAGCUAAAUGCGGAAGAGAUAAGUGCUGAAAGCAUCUAAGCACGAAACUUGCCCCGAGAUGAGUUCU